rnacentral:rRNA from 1 species
UACGGAGGGGGCUAGCGUUGUUCGGAAUUACUGGGCGUAAAGCGCACGUAGGCGGCUUUGUAAGUUAGAGGUGAAAGCCCAGGGCUCAACCCUGGAAUUGCCUUUAAGACUGCAUCGCUUGAACAUCGGAGAGGUAAGUGGAAUUCCGAGUGUAGAGGUGAAAUUCGUAGAUAUUCGGAAGAACACCAAUGGCGAAGGCAGCUCGCUGGGACGUGACUGACGCUGAGACGCGAAAGCGUGGGGAGCAAACAGG